AUGGACGCCGCCGAGCUCCUCCUCCACAAGAUUCGCUACCAGGGCGACCAUGCCGACAACACCGUGGUGCUGGUGGUGCCCUACGCCUGCUGCGGCACACUCAUCGGCAAAGGAGGCACGCUCAUCAAGUCGUUAGCUGAAGCGACAAAGGCUGGAAUCACGGUCUCGCACCACCGAGUCUGCUACAGUUUCAAUGACAGACUGGUUAAGAUCACUGCUUUGAUUCCUUGCGGCGUCGCGCCUCCCGCCUUUGGUGUUGUUCUGGGUCUGCCCGUGCCAGAUUCGUGGCCUCGCAUGUUUAAUGGGGUGCCUUACUGUAGUCUAGAUAAUCAGCACAUGAAUGGACUGUUAAUUAAUCCGUUAAUGUACACAAGGAGUUUGUUUAAUCUAGAAAUUGUACAAAUCUGCAUCAUGCAAACUUACUUCAGGUUGUUACAUAAGGAAGGAGCUCGGGGUUCAGUUCCAAGCAAUAGGGGUUGGGUUGAUUCCUCUAGAAAUAGUCAGAUGAAUCAUUGCUGUAAUUUGUAA
rnacentral:rRNA from 1 species